rnacentral:tRNA from 1 species
AGGGGGAUAGCGUAGUGGUAGAAGCGCUUAGAAGGCCCUGCUUUAUCGGUAAGGUCGUGGGUUCGAAUCCCGCUCCCCCCC